rnacentral:rRNA from 1 species
AAAUUGAAGAGUUUGAUCAUGGCUCAGAUUGAACGCUGGCGGCAGGCCUAACACAUGCAAGUCGAACGGUAACAGGAAGCAGCUUGCUGCUUUGCUGACGAGUGGCGGACGGGUGAGUAAUGUCUGGGAAACUGCCUGAUGGAGGGGGAUAACUACUGGAAACGGUGGCUAAUACCGCAUAACGUCGCAAGACCAAAGAGGGGGACCUUCGGGCCUCUUGCCAUCAGAUGUGCCCAGAUGGGAUUAGCUUGUUGGUGAGGUAACGGCUCACCAAGGCGACGAUCCCUAGCUGGUCUGAGAGGAUGACCAGCCACACUGGAACUGAGACACGGUCCAGACUCCUACGGGAGGCAGCAGUGGGGAAUAUUGCACAAUGGGCGCAAGCCUGAUGCAGCCAUGCCGCGUGUAUGAAGAAGGCCUUCGGGUUGUAAAGUACUUUCAGCGGGGAGGAAGGUGUUGUGGUUAAUAACCACAGCAAUUGACGUUACCCGCAGAAGAAGCACCGGCUAACUCCGUGCCAGCAGCCGCGGUAAUACGGAGGGUGCAAGCGUUAAUCGGAAUUACUGGGCGUAAAGCGCACGCAGGCGGUCUGUCAAGUCGGAUGUGAAAUCCCCGGGCUCAACCUGGGAACUGCAUUCGAAACUGGCAGGCUUGAGUCUUGUAGAGGGGGGUAGAAUUCCAGGUGUAGCGGUGAAAUGCGUAGAGAUCUGGAGGAAUACCGGUGGCGAAGGCGGCCCCCUGGACAAAGACUGACGCUCAGGUGCGAAAGCGUGGGGAGCAAACAGGAUUAGAUACCCUGGUAGUCCACGCCGUAAACGAUGUCUACUUGGAGGUUGUGCCCUUGAGGCGUGGCUUCCGGAGCUAACGCGUUAAGUAGACCGCCUGGGGAGUACGGCCGCAAGGUUAAAACUCAAAUGAAUUGACGGGGGCCCGCACAAGCGGUGGAGCAUGUGGUUUAAUUCGAUGCAACGCGAAGAACCUUACCUGGUCUUGACAUCCACGGAAGUUUUCAGAGAUGAGAAUGUGCCUUCGGGAACCGUGAGACAGGUGCUGCAUGGCUGUCGUCAGCUCGUGUUGUGAAAUGUUGGGUUAAGUCCCGCAACGAGCGCAACCCUUAUCCUUUGUUGCCAGCGGUUAGGCCGGGAACUCAAAGGAGACUGCCAGUGAUAAACUGGAGGAAGGUGGGGAUGACGUCAAGUCAUCAUGGCCCUUACGACCAGGGCUACACACGUGCUACAAUGGCGCAUACAAAGAGAAGCGACCUCGCGAGAGCAAGCGGACCUCAUAAAGUGCGUCGUAGUCCGGAUUGGAGUCUGCAACUCGACUCCAUGAAGUCGGAAUCGCUAGUAAUCGUGGAUCAGAAUGCCACGGUGAAUACGUUCCCGGGCCUUGUACACACCGCCCGUCACACCAUGGGAGUGGGUUGCAAAAGAAGUAGGUAGCUUAACCUUCGGGAGGGCGCUUACCACUUUGUGAUUCAUGACUGGGGUGAAGUCGUAACAAGGUAACCGUAGGGGAACCUGCGGUUGGAUCACCUCCUUACCU